rnacentral:miRNA from 1 species
UCAUUUUUGUGAUUUUUGCAAUU